GACUCAAAUAGAACUCCCGUGAGGUCACACAUGUGAUGUCAUCACCAUUGUCAUUGGUGAGGGGCCUAAACUGUAGGAACCUAGGAAUACACAUUCAUACCCGCCUGUGACUGAUGCACACUUUCCAGGCUGUGGGGCAGCACAUACACGGACACUUUGCCCAAAUUCUAGAGGUAACCUCCUUUAGUAUGCCCAGAGGAAGGGCCGUACAGUAGCCAUGGAUUCCCUACAGGUUUCCUCCCCUCUGGAGGUUUUUCCUGUCCUGAGUUAGUUACUGUCCGCUCUUUGUGAGUGAUGGAGGUUACAUAAAAUCCCUACACAAACAUUUUUGUAAAUAAUAAAUAAAGUUCCCUUUGUUUAAACUGUUCUUUGACUUGUUUGACUCAUUUAUUUUAUUUGUGUGUGUGAAAAAUAGUGUUAUCAAAAUGUGGAUGACAGAAGUGUCCAAAACUGCUGCCCGAUCUGCCCCAUGUGAUGAGCCAAUCAGAAAGCAGCACGACUCAAAUAGAACUCCCGUGAGGUCACACAUGUGAUGUCAUCACCAUUGUCAUUGGUGAGGGGCCUAAACUGUAGGAACCUAGGAAUACACAUUCAUACCCGCCUGUGACUGGUAAGUAUCACAUCUUUUUGUCCAGUUCCAUGUGCAUUUCUAUAAUAAACAUGUAACUAAUCUCUCUUUUCUUUUCCUUUCUUAGAUGCACACUUUCCAGGCUGUGGGGCAGCACAUACACUGACACUUUGCCCAAAUUCUAGAGGUAACCUCCUUUAGUAUGCCCAGAGGAAGGGCAGUACAGUAGCCAUGGAUUCCCUACAGGUUUCCUCCCCUCUGGAGGUUUUUCCUGUCCUGAGUUAGUUACUGUCCGCUCUUUGUGAGUGAUGGAGGUUACAUAAAAUCCCUACACAAACAUUUUUGUAAAUAAUAAAUAAAGUUCCCUUUGUUUAAACUGUU